UUGCUCCUCUGACGUUAGCGGCGGACGGGUGAGUAACACGUGGAUAACCUACCUAUAAGACUGGGAUAACUUCGGGAAACCGGAGCUAAUACCGGAUAAUAUAUUGAACCGCAUGGUUCAAUAGUGAAAGACGGUUUUGCUGUCACUUAUAGAUGGAUCCGCGCCGCAUUAGCUAGUUGGUAAGGUAACGGCUUACCAAGGCAACGAUGCGUAGCCGACCUGAGAGGGUGAUCGGCCACACUGGAACUGAGACACGGUCCAGACUCCUACGGGAGGCAGCAGUAGGGAAUCUUCCGCAAUGGGCGAAAGCCUGACGGAGCAACGCCGCGUGAGUGAUGAAGGUCUUCGGAUCGUAAAACUCUGUUAUUAGGGAAGAACAAAUGUGUAAGUAACUAUGCACGUCUUGACGGUACCUAAUCAGAAAGCCACGGCUAACUACGUGCCAGCAGCCGCGGUAAUACGUAGGUGGCAAGCGUUAUCCGGAAUUAUUGGGCGUAAAGCGCGCGUAGGCGGUUUUUUAAGUCUGAUGUGAAAGCCCACGGCUCAACCGUGGAGGGUCAUUGGAAACUGGAAAACUUGAGUGCAGAAGAGGAAAGUGGAAUUCCAUGUGUAGCGGUGAAAUGCGCAGAGAUAUGGAGGAACACCAGUGGCGAAGGCGACUUUCUGGUCUGUAACUGACGCUGAUGUGCGAAAGCGUGGGGAUCAAACAGGAUUAGAUACCCUGGUAGUCCACGCCGUAAACGAUGAGUGCUAAGUGUUAGGGGGUUUCCGCCCCUUAGUGCUGCAGCUAACGCAUUAAGCACUCCGCCUGGGGAGUACGACCGCAAGGUUGAAACUCAAAGGAAUUGACGGGGACCCGCACAAGCGG
rnacentral:rRNA from 1 species